rnacentral:rRNA from 1 species
GACGAAGGGGGCUAGCGUUGUUCGGAAUUACUGGGCGUAAAGCGAGUGUAGGUGGUUGUCCAAGUUGGAUGUGAAAGCCUUGAGCUCAACUCGAGAAAUGCAUUCAGGACUGGAUGGCUAGAGGACCGGAGAGGAUAGUGGAAUUCCCAGUGUAGUGGUGAAAUACGUAGAGAUUGGGAAGAACACCAGUGGCGAAGGCGGCUAUCUGGACGGUU